GACCGAGCGAGGAAGGGCGCACGGUGGAUGCCUUGGCACCAGGGGCCGAUGAAGGACGUGGAUGGCUGCGAAAAGCCACGGGGAGCCGCCAGCAGGCUUUGAUCCGUGGAUAUCCGAAUGGGGCAACCCCGCCAGAGUUAUGUCUGGCGACCCUCGGCUGAACACAUAGGCCGUGAGGAGGCAAGUCGGGGAACUGAAACAUCUCAGUACCCGGAAGAAAGGAAAUCAACGAGACUCCGUUAGUAGUGGUGAGCGAACGCGGACCAGCCCAAACCGGUGCAACUUAACGGGCGGCAGCCCUAUGUUGCACGCGGAGUUGGAGGACCCAGCUGGCCUACUGUCGUAGGGCCAGGGAGUGACAAAUCGGCUGCGUAGCUGAACGGUCUGGGAAGGCCGGCCAGAGAAGGUGAGAGCCCUGUACGCGAAACGUAACCGACUCCCGCUGGGCACCUGAGUACCACGGAGCACGUGAAAUUCCGUGGGAAUCUAGGGCGACCACGCUCUAAGGCUAAGUACCCCUGGUGACCGAUAGUGAACUAGUACCGUGAGGGAAAGGU
rnacentral:rRNA from 1 species